CGGACGGGUGAGUAAUGUCUGGGAAACUGCCCGAUGGAGGGGGAUAACUACUGGAAACGGUAGCUAAUACCGCAUAACGCCGCAAGACCAAAGAGGGGGACCUUAGGGCCUCUUGCCAUCGGAUGUGCCCAGAUGGGAUUAGCUAGUAGGUGGGGUAACGGCUCACCUAGGCGACGAUCCCUAGCUGGUCUGAGAGGAUGACCAGCCACACUGGAACUGAGACACGGUCCAG
rnacentral:rRNA from 1 species